AUGACUGCUGAAUGGAGUGUUGAAAACACUCGGAUUGUGUGCGAGUUGUUCGCUGAGCAAGUGGACGCUGGAAAUAGGCCAGGCAAUUAUUUGACCCCAAAUGCAUUUGAUGAGGUGACAAGACAAUUUAAGAUGAGAACCGGGCUUGACUACACACAUACCCAAUUGAAAAACAAAUGGGACAAGCUUAAAGCUGAUUUCACCUUGUUCAAGAAACUCAAGUUUCGGGAGACCGGAGCCGGAUGGGACUAUGUGAACAACACCGUGUCACAAGAUGAUGAGUGGUGGAAGAAGGCUAAAAUUGAUAUUAAAGGUUGUGGUAAGUUCAAGAAGAAAGCACUUGCUAAUGAAGAAAAGUUGCGGGUUAUUUUUGGAGAUAUCACAACUGAUGGUACAGACCAUUGGAAUCCCUCUUCUGGCAUACCUCCCCCCUCUAGUGCGGCAGUGAAAGAAUCCAUCAAUGUUGACGAGAUCGAGGACCUUGAUCUGGAUGAUAUGGAAGAACAAGCAUCUCAGGCAACACCUACUUCAUCUAAAGUGAGGCUUGGAAUCAUCAUUCCAGAAAAGAACAAGAAACCCAAGACCGCACAAGUGAUGUGUGAGCAAGUUACAAGGAUUGGUGACAUUGCCGAGGCUUCUCAUUCGUCAUUUCAGUCUUUCCUAAAGCAAGAUGAGGCAAACUGUGUCACCUCGGUCAUGGACGAAGUCAUUGCUUGUGGUGCAACAGUUGAUACGGAUGAGUUCUUCAUGGCUAGCGAGUUGUUUGUGAAGAGGGCGCAAAGGGAGAUGUUUCUUUACAUGCCUCCUGACUCUCGGAAGGGUUGGUUGCGUAGGAAAUAUGACUUGAAGUAUGCGAAGUAG
rnacentral:rRNA from 1 species